rnacentral:lncRNA from 1 species
AUCCUUUUAAAAUCAAACUCUCAAUCAAACGAUGGCAAAAUUAAAACAAAUGGUAUAAAAAAAAUCUGUGCAGAUGCAGGACCAUCACCUUUGCCAUGUGGUACUUUCUUAGCCUGUGCAUAUCUGAAAAACAUAAACAUGCUUAGCAGUAUGAGGUAAGAAUUAAUUGCACCAAUAAAAAUUCAUUGGGCCAAAUGGAAUUUCAACAGACUGAAAGAUUCUUAGAUGUUUUCUGGAAGGCUAAGUUGACUUAAGAAUGCGUAUGAAGAAAUAAUCUGUAAAAAAUACUACAGGCCAAUCGGCAUCUGGAAUCAUGAAAAUAUUAAUGAUUCUUCCCAAGCCAUAUAUUCUGGAAAAUUCCAACUAAUGAAUGCACAGCCACAUUAGCAAGCAGGAGACAUGAACAGUGGAUAGACACCAUUUUUCUCCUUUGAACAACUCAUGAACUGAAUGUGAGUUGAAAGUAAGAAAUACUAAGUGUGUUUUCUAAGGAAUUCCCACAUACUUUAAAUAAAGACUUCUGGAUCCACAAGACUUCAUUUUGUGACACAGGGGUUCACAGAUCAAACAGUUCAGAAAAGCUUCAAACUUCACUAAAAGCCUAGAAAGAUCAGAAAGGAUGAAGGGAGUUCACUGCCCAAUAUCUGCUCCUGAGGAUGGGAGUAGGAUAAUGCAUAUAUAGUCGAUUAACUAGGAGGGAUGGUGAGACAUAGAAGAAAUCAGAGUCUAGGCUAAAUAUCAGGGCAGCAUCUUGGCAAUGAAAGCUCCUGCCUUUGGAACACUCCCCUAAGGGAAACAGGAGAUGCUGCUGCUUCAUAAAAAGAAUUAAAUUGCCUAGAUAAAAGCACGAGCGUGCACUGAGUGAUCUCUUGCCCUUUAACUAGGACUUCGGACAUACAUAGUACUUCAAAAUUGUUUGUUUUAAUGCAGAAUCAUCUGAAUGCACAGUAAACCAAUGCUAAAGCCUGGCUAGAAUAGAUCGUCCUACAGAAUUUGAUAAUCUUGGAAUUAGGGGGGACCUUAAAAAAUGCACUUAUUUAUGAAAUACAGAUACUGCUUCCUAUGUACAGGCCAGGUACAAUUUUAAACAUGUUUUUAUAAAUAAUAAGUCAAUCACAGUUGGCAGGAUAAUGGAAUAGGAGGCCCCCUGCUCAUAUACCCACACAGCAAGAAGCAUUUGGCAGCCAUCCACUGAUAGAAGUGCCUCAGUGGGAGCUUUGGGAUCUAGGGAGCAGAUGUUAAAAUUCUGGUAUAGGCCAAAACCAAGGAGGCUCAUUUUAAUAGGGCAGGCCCACACUUGGGUGGCAAUUUUGCUGACUAUGGAGUAAGCCAUUGAUCAAAAAUGAACGCAUCCCCUGUGGACCCAGCUACAAUCCUGUUUCACCUUGGUCCUGCCACCAGAACCAUCCUCCAAGGAGGAGUCAUGCUCACCCAUGCCUAAAGUGACAGGUCCACCACCCACAGGCCUGGCAGCAGACGCUGAAGUACCCCUGUAACUCAGCUCUAGCCCCUCAUCUAGUCUGAGACCAAUCAUGCCUGCCCAGAGACCUGCUGGGAGACACACCCAUCUGUGCCCUGGGAAGUAGGCUUGCUACCCUCAGUCCCAUAGCAGACCCUGAAAAAGCUCUAACUUGGCUCUAGCCCCUAUAAACUGCAGUCUGAAUGCAGUCCUGCCCACCCAGGAACCUGCCAGGAGUCACACUGUAUGUACCCUGGGAAGCAGGCUUGCUGAACUCCAUCCCACAGCAGAUCCUACGACAGCUCAGAAAUUUGUCUCCAGUGCCCUUCAAUUGUGAUCCGUGAUCAGUUCUGCCUGUCCAGGAACCUGGCAGGAGAUACGCCCAUCUGUGCCUCCAGAGGCAGGUCUGAGACAUGAGGCUGGGCUGUAGACCCUGAAGCAGCCCUGUAACUCAGUUCUAGCUCCUCUUAUCUGCAGUCUGGGGCCAGUCUUGCCCACCCAGGGUCCCACCAAGUGACCCUUCCCAGGAACCAAGAAGAAGCCACACCUGUCUACAGACCUGGUAACAGGCCCAUUUUCUGCAGACCUUGAAGUGGACCCUUGUACCAGUACCAGCCCUACUGACCAAGAUCCUGGAAGUCCAGUCUGCCCAGGGACCAAACAAUAUUCACGCCAGCUCGAGCCCCUGGUAACAGGCCUGCCAACCACGAACUGUGAUCUGGAGGCAAUCCCAUCAGCCCUGGGACCCAACAAAAGCAGAAAACCAAUGCAUCCACAAAAUAAGAUAUUUAAUAAAUAAAUAGAAAUCAUAAAAAAGAACCAAACAGAAUGACAAAUUUAUUAUCUCACUUAUAAUGUAGAAUCUUGGAAAGUCAAACACAUAGCAUUGCCAGGGCCUGGGGGUGGGGGAUAUGGGGAGGUGUUGGUCAAAGGGUACAAACUUUCAGUUUGGGAAGCUAAUGUACAUCAUGGUGACUAUAGUAAAUAAUACUGUAUUGUUGACUUGAACUUUGCUAACAGAGUAACCUAAUGUUGCUUAAUGCAUACACACACAUACACACACACCGGUAACAAUGUGUGGUGAUGGAUGUGUUGAUUACUUUGAUUGUGAUGAUCAUUACCCAGUGCAUACAUACAUCAAAUCAUCAUGUCGUAUACCUUGAAUAUAUACAAUUUUUGUCAAUUACACCCUAAUAAAUCUGGGAAAAAACUCAAUCCCCAUAAGAACUCUAUGAGGUACAUGAUAUUAGUACCAGCACUUUACAAGUGGGAAGACUGAAGAACAAGAGUAUAAAUAACUUUGUCUUGGUAGCAUAGCUGCUUACUGGUGGAACAGAGACUUGACCCCAGGAAGUCUGGACCCAAAGUCUGCAUCCUAAACCUUGCAAAUGCAUUGCCUUUUAUCUUGGUAGGCAUUCAGUAUUGCUUUUUCUAGAUAGGAAAGACUGUAUUAGUACAUAUGAACAUCAUGCAUAACAUUUAUUCUAAAAAAGAAUUUGACUCACAAUCUUGAUUCUGGGAAUAUCUGAUUUUACUGAAAGAUUAUUUGCUAAUUACUCUUCCCAAAUCUUAUGAAUAGGAUGAAUGAAGCAGGCACAAUUUGAGGCGUUUUGUAUUUAAUACUAUUUUACUGCCUACCAUAUUUUCACCCAAUCUAAAUAUGCAAGGCCCAAAUCAGCAAAUUUUCCACAUCCAUUGUUCCCACUUCCAGUUAGUAUUGACAUUAUAUAUUACAUUUUUUUGUAUCUUCUAUAACCAAUCGAGUUCAUUCUCUCUUCUCCCCGUUCUUUCUGCUCCACUGAGGUUCAAAAGCCCAUUCCUGGUUUAUUGUAGAACCGCCCUAAGCAUUCUCUCCCUCUCCUAUCUGCCUGUUUUAGCCAUAGCAGAGAUUGCUGGUUAAGGAGACUUGGGAAGGUGUCGGCUCAGCAGUUUCCAGGCAUGGCAAGAAGUGUCCUGAGGCAGAGGCACAGUUAGAUGGACAGGGACCAAAAUGAGAUCACUCAUGGUGCUGAAGCAAAAGCAAGUCCAGGGUUUAGAUCAAGCAACAACAUUGUACAGUUGAACCCAAGGGCACAUGUAUCCUGAAGCUAAGUAACUCAAUCUUCAGAGUAUCUCAAUGGUACAGGUCUCUUUCCAAGUCUUGGGAGAGACUGUAGCAAAGGUCCCUAAAAUUAUAUAAGUGCAAAAAUCCAAAACCUAAAUCUUCUCAUUGAAGCUAUGGCUUUAAUCACACCUUCAAGGUGGAAUUUGGUUCAGCUAUUUAGAAAAUUGGAAACCAGAUAAAAUGCAUAUCUGGUGUCCUAAAGCCUGCCUCACUCCACCUUUGAGGAAAUCUUACUUUGUUUUAUAAAUUAUUGAAGCUAACCUGAGUUUGAGAUAGAUCUUAUUCUUUUCCUAAAAGCAUCCAGGAAUAAAAAUGAUUUGCCAGGAUUUUGAGUCCUAGCCUAGGGUCAGUGUGCAUGAGGGUCACUCAUAGCAUGGCAUGAGAACAACUGAAAGAUGCAUGGCCUGUUCAUCAGGACUGUCCAAGAGGUGGAAGUAACUGGGAGCGGACAAUGUAGUGAAUUUAAGCAACUCCUGUAAAGAGAAGAGGUCUGAUGAAAAGUGUGACUCCAGCCCUCAGCCAACAUUGUUUUGCUGGUGAAAUUCAGCUGAUAAGAAGGAUACUUUGAGGAGGAGAAAGAAUUAGCCAAGAGCACCCAGUAGCAUGACAGAGGAGUGUGGGAGAAAGGGAGAAGCUGUUCCCCUCCCUGUCACUUGGGGAGUUAAGAGGGUGAGGCAGUGAAUGGGAAGGUACAUCAGAUUUCCAAGAACAAAGGUUCUUGAGACUAUGCGGCAGCCUCAGAUCCUUCUUCCUCCCAGCUGCCCCAAGGAUUCAUUGCCAAGCCAGCAGCCACUCUGAGCUCCUGAGAAAAAAAGCAUCGCAGAACCUCAGAGCUGGCUGAGCUGCAUGGCUAGACAUUCAACAGUGCCAUGGUGAGCCACAAACCGAGAAGGUCAGGGUGGAGGAAGCACUUAGAAAAAUGGGAUUGAGAAUAUAGAAAAUGAACAAUGAAUAAAGCUCAGUCUUUGGGAGGUGAUCAGGGUGAAAAAGAUGGGAGUAAGAGUUUGUAUUAUGCUGUUCUUGCAUUGCUAUAAAGACAUACCUGAGACUGGGUAAUUUAUAAAGAAAAG